rnacentral:rRNA from 1 species
GGCGAACGCUGGCGGCGUGCUUAACACAUGCAAGUCGAACGGAAAGGCCCUGCUUUUGUGGGGUGCUCGAGUGGCGAACGGGUGAGUAACACGUAAGUAACCUGCCCUUGACUUUGGGAUAACUUCAGGAAACUGGGGCUAAUACCGGAUAGGAGCUCCUGCUGCAUGGUGGGGGUUGGAAAGUUUCGGCGGUUGGGGAUGGACUCGCGGCUUAUCAGCUUGUUGGUGGGGUAGUGGCUUACCAAGGCUUUGACGGGUAGCCGGCCUGAGAGGGUGACCGGCCACAUUGGGACUGAGAUACGGCCCAGACUCCUACGGGAGGCAGCAGUGGGGAAUAUUGCACAAUGGGCGGAAGCCUGAUGCAGCAACGCCGCGUGCGGGAUGACGGCCUUCGGGUUGUAAACCGCUUUCGCCUGUGACGAAGCGUGAGUGACGGUAAUGGGUAAAGAAGCACCGGCUAACUACGUG